rnacentral:rRNA from 1 species
AAAUUGAAGAGUUUGAUCAUGGCUCAGAUUGAACGCUGGCGGCAGGCCUAACACAUGCAAGUCGAGCGGUAGCACAGAGAGCUUGCUCUCGGGUGACGAGCGGCGGACGGGUGAGUAAUGUCUGGGAAACUGCCUGAUGGAGAGGGAUAACUACUGGAAACGGUAGCUAAUACCGCAUAAUGUCGCAAGACCAAAGUGGGGGACCUUCGGGCCUCAUGCCAUCAGAUGUGCCCAGAUGGGAUUAGCUAGUAGGUGGGGUAACGGCUCACCUAGGCGACGAUCCCUAGCUGGUCUGAGAGGAUGACCAGCCACACUGGAACUGAGACACGGUCCAGACUCCUACGGGAGGCAGCAGUGGGGAAUAUUGCACAAUGGGCGCAAGCCUGAUGCAGCCAUGCCGCGUGUGUGAAGAAGGCCUUCGGGUUGUAAAGCACUUUCAGCGGGGAGGAAGGCGUUAAGGUUAAUAACCUUGUCGAUUGACGUUACCCGCAGAAGAAGCACCGGCUAACUCCGUGCCAGCAGCCGCGGUAAUACGGAGGGUGCAAGCGUUAAUCGGAAUUACUGGGCGUAAAGCGCACGCAGGCGGUCUGUCAAGUCGGAUGUGAAAUCCCCGGGCUCAACCUGGGAACUGCAUUCGAAACUGGCAGGCUAGAGUCUUGUAGAGGGGGGUAGAAUUCCAGGUGUAGCGGUGAAAUGCGUAGAGAUCUGGAGGAAUACCGGUGGCGAAGGCGGCCCCCUGGACAAAGACUGACGCUCAGGUGCGAAAGCGUGGGGAGCAAACAGGAUUAGAUACCCUGGUAGUCCACGCCGUAAACGAUGUCGAUUUGGAGGUUGUGCCCUUGAGGCGUGGCUUCCGGAGCUAACGCGUUAAAUCGACCGCCUGGGGAGUACGGCCGCAAGGUUAAAACUCAAAUGAAUUGACGGGGGCCCGCACAAGCGGUGGAGCAUGUGGUUUAAUUCGAUGCAACGCGAAGAACCUUACCUGGUCUUGACAUCCACAGAACUUUCCAGAGAUGGAUUGGUGCCUUCGGGAACUGUGAGACAGGUGCUGCAUGGCUGUCGUCAGCUCGUGUUGUGAAAUGUUGGGUUAAGUCCCGCAACGAGCGCAACCCUUAUCCUUUGUUGCCAGCGGUUAGGCCGGGAACUCAAAGGAGACUGCCAGUGAUAAACUGGAGGAAGGUGGGGAUGACGUCAAGUCAUCAUGGCCCUUACGACCAGGGCUACACACGUGCUACAAUGGCAUAUACAAAGAGAAGCGACCUCGCGAGAGCAAGCGGACCUCAUAAAGUAUGUCGUAGUCCGGAUUGAGUCUGCAACUCGACUCCAUGAAGUCGGAAUCGCUAGUAAUCGUAGAUCAGAAUGCUACGGUGAAUACGUUCCCGGGCCUUGUACACACCGCCCGUCACACCAUGGGAGUGGGUUGCAAAAGAAGUAGGUAGCUUAACCUUCGGGAGGGCGCUUACCACUUUGUGAUUCAUGACUGGGGUGAAGUCGUAACAAGGUAACCGUAGGGGAACCUGCGGUUGGAUCACCUCCUUACCUUAAAGAA